UUGGAAGUCCCUUAAAAGCUCUUUCUUCUGUGUUCUUUUUUCUUCGAUUGCAGAAUAACGUUAAGAAACGUUUCAGAUGAGCUUGGAGGAGGAGAAUACAAAGGCCUUUCUUAUACUCAAUGAGAAUUAUACUCACAUUAAAGGAGGUCAUUGUAAUAAUGGAGAUUUUGAUACAAAAGUGAGGUUUUGCAA